rnacentral:rRNA from 1 species
GACGAACGCUGGCGGCGUGCUUAACACAUGCAAGUCGAACGAAGAGCGAUGGAAGCUUGCUUCUAUCAAUCUUAGUGGCGAACGGGUGAGUAACGCGUAAUCAACCUGCCCUUCAGAGGGGGACAACAGUUGGAAACGACUGCUAAUACCGCAUACGAUCUAAUCUCGGCAUCGAGGAUAGAUGAAAGGUGGCCUCUACAUGUAAGCUAUCACUGAAGGAGGGGAUUGCGUCUGAUUAGCUAGUUGGAGGGGUAACGGCCCACCAAGGCGAUGAUCAGUAGCCGGUCUGAGAGGAUGAACGGCCACAUUGGGACUGAGACACGGCCCAGACUCCUACGGGAGGCAGCAGUGGGGAAUCUUCCGCAAUGGACGAAAGUCUGACGGAGCAACGCCGCGUGAGCGAUGACGGCCUUCGGGUUGUAAAGCUCUGUUAAUCGGGACGAAAGGCCUUCCUGCGAAUAGUGAGAAGGAUUGACGGUACCGGAAUAGAAAGCCACGGCUAACUACGUG